rnacentral:tRNA from 1 species
GAGGGUAUAGCUCAGUGACAGAGCACAUGCUUAGCAUGCAUGAGGUCCUGGGUUCAGUCCCCAGUGCCACCA